rnacentral:rRNA from 1 species
UUGACCUCGGAUCAGGUAGGGAUACCCGCUGACUUAGCAUAUCAUUAGCGGAGGA